rnacentral:sRNA from 1 species
UAGUUGAUGGAAUGAUGGUUGCGUAUGU